UUUUUCAUUACUCUGCUUUCUGCUGGCAGGCUGUUUGGUGCAGAUGUGUCAGUGCUGCAAGUAUGGCAAACCUGGGGCACAGCUGCAGCUUGGUCAGUCAUUUUGCAUGUGAGGAAAGUCAGGAAUAAACAAUUGAGCAUAAAGUCUCAUUAUCAAGGUGUAUUCCAGAGAAGAUGAAUUUGUGCAAGAUGAUAAGUGAACACCCUCAAAGCUCUUACUCUGCCCUGUGCAGCAAGACUUUCAAAGACCAUGCAGGAACCUCCUAAUGGCAUUUUAUAAUGAAAAUGCUAAUAAAAGCUAACAGAGGAGUACCUAGUCUCUUUCU
rnacentral:lncRNA from 1 species